CCCAGAGAACCUGUGUCUACUUCUGAGCGCUGGGAAUGAAGCAGAUCUCGCAAAAGGGGAGGAAGGCCUUCACCGCUGAACCCGAGCUUUGCCAUUUCGAAGUGCUGAGUCACCUCGUCCUCUCAGGGUCAGACACUUUCACGCAGGAAACGUCCUGCAGAGCACCGCAGCGGGAGCACCGAGCUGGGUGGUAAUUUAUUCUAGAACCGAUGUGCCAGCGUUUCCUUCUGUGUGCUUUGAGUAGGAGCAGGAACAACGGAUCUCUCCAAGCAUGGGCAGACGGAGAGCUGCAACCCUUGGACCAACCAACGCCUGCCAGUGGGCGCCUGCAUCCCACGCCUGCAUCCCGCGUGCAGGCUACUGGCAGGUGCUCUGUGUCUCACUCCAUCUUUACCUGCCCUGUAAAGGAGGAACUGUUGUUUUUAGUCUCCUGGAGCAGCCGCGCCUUCCCACAGCACUCAGACUUGAGGAAGCUUAAGAAGCUGAGACCAGAGAGGGCGAUGUCCACCUUGGUGACGAAGCACUCUAGAGGCUGCCGCCACACUUAAAAAGUGACCAGUCACCAACAACUCAUCUUAAGUACAGGAAGAAUGCCAGCAGCUGAAUGAAAUUCUUGCUUUCCCUGGUGAACAACGAAGGGGAAGGGAAUGGAGUGUGGUGAAAGAGAGGGCAGAAAGGCUGCCAGUGUCCUCUUCAUCCCUGCCCCACCCCCACCCCCACCCCCCAGCACAGAGAGACCCGGGAAGAUUUCAAAUCUUUCCUUUAAGUGGCGGCUAAGGACAAAAUGAAAUGACUUAGCCACCUAUCAUGGUCUUUACUGAGUUAUAUCCAUGGAUAUAAGAUAAUUUGGCAUCUAAAAAACAAAGACAGGGCCAGUAAAAUGGCUCACUGGGUAAAGGUGCCCGCUGCCAAGCCAGAGCACCUGGGUUUGGUCCUUGGAACUCACACGGUGGGGAGAACAGAUCCCUUCAUGCUGUGUGCUGAUGCCCACAUGCAUGUUAGGAAAACACUUCCAGCCCCCUAAACUAACUUUUUCUAUUCCGUACUCUGCCUGUGACUAGACCUGGAAGGAGAGAACAAGGGCCUUCCUGAGGCAGGACAAGGACCCAGAACUACCCAGAAUGCAGCAGGGCGGCCCCGCACGACUGAGCUCUGAUCCUAACCUGCAAAGUGAAGUUUCAAUUUCCACUUCCUGAGAAGAUGUGGAAACUCAGAGAGGAUGCCACUGUUUUGAACUAUUUUGAAGGCACAGCCACCAGAGCUUUAGGUCAGAAGAGGUCCUUGGAACUGGAAUUACAGGUGGCUGUGAGCCUCCAGGUAGGUGCUGAGAAUCAAGCAGCCUGGCUCCUCUGUAGGAGCUCUAAGGAAUGCUCUUACCUGCUGAGCCAUCUGUCCAGCCCUGAUUGUCCUGGCUGUUAAUUGAGGAAGGAAGACUUACUCUGAGGGAGGGCUGAGCCAGUCCCCAGGCUGCUCCCUGAAUGGUAUGUAGAGGAGGGGAGCCAGCUAAGCACUGACCAGCGAGGGUGUGCACAUUUUCUUUGGUCUUUGUUUUGAAUGUGGUGUGGCUGGCUGCUUCAAUUCCUGACUUGAUUUCCUCAAAAGGAUAGGCUGUAACCCAGAAUGGUAAACUGCCUU
rnacentral:lncRNA from 1 species